CCUCUGUCCUCUGCCGCCCAGUGUCUCCGCUGUGCUGACCGACUGCAUUUCUGACACUCUCUUGCAGUGAUGCAGCCAGUGACGGCAGUGCUGAAAGCCCACUGGCGUGUUUGCAGCCUGUCUGCCUGCAGCCCUUUCUAUGGCUCUUUCCAGUUUCCCUCUGAUUUAUUCUCACACUGAGCCACGAGAGAACUGAGGGGGCUGUUGUUGGACCUCUUGCCAAAGGGAAAAUGGAGGAUCUUCCCAUUUCUGUCAACCUCGGAUGAGGCACCGCUCCUGCCCAUCCCGUCCCCCAGCCUGCCCUGUGCCUGUCCUCCACCCAUCAGCAUCAUUUGUUCUUCCUCUAGACUGGAAGCUCGUCGUGGGCAAGGGGCGUGUCUACCACCUCUGUACUCUCCCAAGCGCUAGGACAGUGCUCUGCACGCAGAAAACUCUCAAAUGAUUUGAUUCCGGGCAGGGCAGGCGUUCAGAGUGACUAGAUUUCAUCCAGGUCUCACGGCUGGUUGGCUUGGGAAAAGUCACCAUGGUUUCUGGAUUCGUGUCAACCAGGAAGGGUAGGAAUUUAGACUGGGCUCCCCCGAAGGCUUGGGGCGGGCCUGGGGACUUAGGGCUGCCUCUGGACAGCCUCUCUUCGGCAGACUCGUGAUAUUUUGGAAGAGAGGGUGGACCUUGCAGAUGAACAUUCCUACUCUGCCAUCGCUAGAGGGUAGUAGUGGCCAGAGGAGAAUGCAAAGCGAAUCCCUCCUGCAGGAUGAAGAGCCAUUGUUCAGGCCCGAGGGAUUGGGUGUGGUGGGUUCACGAGAAUGGGCAGCCCUCUUCUGAGCGAAGGAAAGCUGCUGUGCCUUCGUGGCUCCGGAUCUGGGACCCUAAAUGUCCCAAGGAGAAGAGGAGGGUGGAGAGAUCCAGCUGAAGGUAUAGAAGUCUCCUCUCAGAGCAGUCCUGAUCUCAAGGACGUCUGUCCCACCGGUCCCAAAUGGUCAAUCGCAAAAAAGGUCUUGCUGCCUGUGUGGUGCUGGGCUUUGAAAUUCUCAAGUGAGCAGCGGGAGAUUCAUGCAGCUCUUAUUGUGAUGUUCUUAUUUGAAGCACUCAGAGUUUCCUGCCCAAGAGCCCAGCAGCAAAUAGAAUCAAACAUAUUGCCUGCAGCACCAUGGAAAAGAGACCGGGCCGUGAUGGAGAUCAAAUCUACUCCGUCGGGUAGGCUGAACAUCUGAUUCUUGGAGAGUUUAAAUUUGCAUCAGAUUGUUGCAAGUAAACAUUCUGAAUGAAAGAGAAAACAUUGAAGUAAGUAAUUUACUUCCAGUGUUUGCUUAUUAGUUUAUUAGUCAUACUCCUCAUGGAGGCAAAAAUUUGUUUUUAAAAAAUGUGUCUAUUUCUUUGGGAGUAAAUUAUAAAAAACAGAAACAUUGGAUCCAGUUGGGUACAUUUGAGCCAUUACUAGACUAAAAUGAACAUUGAGGAGGCAACUGACCAGAAUUUAUCCAUUCAGUGUCUACCCUCCCGACUUAACUCAGAUUGGAACGGUGGGGAACCCUCAAGCUUCUCCGCAGCCCUAGGUGAGACAACCACUCAUGGGGAGAAUCGAUCGGAUUCAGUGGGCUGAGGGCAGAAGAGACAAUACAUUUCCCCACCCGCACCCUGGCCCCAGAGCAGUGGACAAGGUUGAGGCCAGGGGGCUGGUGGGCCGUGGCCCGCACUGGGGAGCAUUCUGCUGUCUGCACAGCUUCUACCUCUCAAAAUGAUGUCAAGAGCCACGAUGGAGGGGCGGAGUGAUGGACUGACAGGAGGGCAAACUGGUGCUGCCCACACCAAUUGACAAAUUAGAAUUGGGAGCGGGCCGUCCUCACGCAUCAUCCUGUAUCACCUUCAACUUAGAAGUUGUAGUAAUAACACUGUUUCAGUCGCUGGUUCCAGGGUACUGUACAGACGCUUGGGAAAAUACAACAUGGGAAGUGAUGUGUUCCCUGUCCCCAAGAAGCUUACACUCUGAUGGGAUCCAUGGGUGUGAGGACCACACUGAGAUUGUCUUGCAAAUGAUAAAGAUAGAAUAGGGCACUGUUUCUGGCUCCUUAUCAUUCAGAGAACAUGGUACAGACUCCAACCAUUGAGAAGAAAGGUCUGUUUUACUGCCAGUAGGGCAUGUACUAGAGUUUUUGCAAUCCAUUAAACUGUAAGCUCCUUGUGGGCAGGAAUUGUGUCUACCAACUCUGUCGUUUGGUACUCUCCCAAGUGAUUAGUACAGUGCUCUGCAGCCAGUAAGUGCUCAAUCAAUGCCACUGAUUGACAGUACAGCAGUGGUGUUGGUUUGCUCUGGGCAGUCCACUCUCGCCCGGUCCCCUUGAUUUUUUUUUAAGGUAUUUGUUAAGUGCUUACUAUGUGUCAAACACUGUUCUCAGCACUGGGGUAGAUACUGGUGAAUUAGGUUGGACACAGUUUCUAUCCUGCAGAGGGCUCGUAGGAAAAACAGGAUAACUGAGGCACAGAGAAGUUAAGGGACUUACUCAAGGUCACACAGCAAGCAUUUGGCAAAACUGGGAUUGAAACCCAGGUCCUCUGAUUCCAAGACCCGUGUUCUUUCCACUAGACCAUGCUGCUUCUUGUCCAUAAGAGCCAAACUCUAAAUUUGAUUACUAUAAUUCUCCUGGGUUGGAACCGAGAUGCUGAUGAGAAACCCAACCCCAUCACGGAGAGGAAAUAGAAGAAGACUGGAAGCUGUAUCAGGAAUGUGGAAACAUGGCUGUUUAGGCCACAUAAUGAUUUUAAAAUGUAGACAUAAAGCCUGGACCUAAGAGAGCCACCCUGAAACAAAAGUUUCAUUUAAUUUGCAUUGAGGAUAUUCUGGAGCGAGUGGCUUUGAAACCAAGGUAGCUUCACUUUGCACUAGACCUCAGAUGACGUGGACUCAGUAUACUGUGGUAAUUAGGCUGUGGCUACGGGGAGUCAGUCUUACAAGGUAGAAGCACCUGAGGUCACCCUAGACACCCAGCAGGAUGGAACCAGGUCAGUACAUUAGGUGCUGCCAUUAAUUCAGUGUUUUCCGUGCAGGUUUGGGCAAGAAUGCUGCUGGGAAUUCGAGAACGGCCUCCUUCCUCAUCAUCAAUGGUAUUUAUUCAGUGCUUACUGUGUGUAAGACACUGUACUAGUCAGUUGGGAGAGUAUGCUACAACAGCGUUGGUAGACACAUUCCUUGCCCACAGUGAGCUUACAGUUUAUUGGGGGAGGCAGACAAGCACAAGCUUGUGGGGGCUGGGCCAGUCACGCUACUGGAAGAAGUGACAUUAUGCACAUGCAUUGCAAGAGCACAACCCUUCCUUGAUGGGAGGACUGCACAUGCCUUCGUUUCAGAGACCGAGAGAUAUUUGUCUUGCCUAGAUAGAAUGGGCGAUUGAGAUCGCAAUGCUGCAUUUUUCUCCCCAAAGGGCAUAAAUGGUGUUGAAAUGCAGAGAGAGAUGGGGAACACACAUCUAUGAACAAUCCCUCCUGGCACAUUAGGAGAGGAUGGGACUGUGUGGACUGGAGCAGGAACUUGCUCAUCCCAGGAACAAUUUCCCCCGACCACCCCCAUCCUGCCUGGUUGGUGAGAAGAAGGGUGGGAAGGAGAGUUAGGGCUAGGGAUCUGGUAACAGUUGCAAAUGCCGAGGAACAAGUGGCCAAAUAUGGACAUGUGGAGCUGGACUGUAAGCUCCUUGAGAGCAGGUGAUGUGUUUCCAAGAGUACCAGCCUUUAUUAUACAGAGAAGUGGCGUGGCUUUAGUGGAAAGAGCACGGGCUUAGGAGUCAGAGGUUGUGGGUUCUAAUCCCAGAUCCGCCACUUGUCUGCUGUGUGACCUUGGGCAAGUCACUUAACCUCUCUGUGCCUCAGUUACCUCAUCUGUAAAAAUGGGGGUUAAAAAAUGUGAGCCCCACGUGGGACAAUCUGAUUACCCUGUAUCUACCCCAGCACUUAGAACAGUGCUCUGCACAUAGUAAGUGCUUAACAAAUACCAUAAUUAUUAUUAUUACUAUUAUAGCAAAUAUUUACUGUUACUCCCUACUGAAGGCCUACCUCCUCCAGGAGGCCUUCCCAGACAGCCCCCCUUUCCUCUGCUCCCCCACCUCCCCACCACCCCAACUCGCUCCCUUUGUUCUACCUUCCUCCCCUCCCCACAGCACUUGUGUAUAUAUGUACAUAUUUAUAAUUCUAUUUAUAUUAAUGUGUAUACAUCUAUAAUUCUAUUUAUUUAUACUGAUGCUAUUGAUGCCUGUUUAAUUGUUCUGAUGCCUGUCUCUCCCCUUCUAGACUGUAAGCCCACUGCGGGCAGGGAUUGUCUCUCUUUGUUGCUGAACUGUACUUUCCAAG
rnacentral:lncRNA from 1 species